AUACGGAGGGUCCGAGCGUUAUCCGGAAUCAUUGGGUUUAAAGGGUCCGUAGGCGGGAAUCUAAGUCAGUGGUGAAAUCUUGCAGCUCAACUGUAAAAUUGCCAUUGAUACUGGAUUUCUUGAAUUAGUGUGAAGUGAUUAGAAUGUGUAGUGUAGCGGUGAAAUGCAUAGAUAUUACACAGAAUACCAAUUGCGAAGGCAGAUCACUAACACUAUAUUGACGCUGAGGGACGAAAGCGUGGGGAGCGAACAGCAUUAGAAACCCUAGUAGUCC
rnacentral:rRNA from 1 species